GAUGAACGCUGGCGGCGUGCCUAAUACAUGCAAGUCGAGCGAACAGACGAGGAGCUUGCUCCUCUGACGUUAGCGGCGGACGGGUGAGUAACACGUGGAUAACCUACCUAUAAGACUGGGAUAACUUCGGGAAACCGGAGCUAAUACCGGAUAAUAUAUUGAACCGCAUGGUUCAAUAGUGAAAGACGGUUUUGCUGUCACUUAUAGAUGGAUCCGCGCCGCAUUAGAUAGUUGGUAAGUUAACGGCUUACCAAGGCAACGAUGCGUAGCCGACCUGAGAGGGUGAUCGGCCACACUGGAACUGAGACACGGUCCAGACUCCUACGGGAGGCAGCAGUAGGGAAUCUUCCGCAAUGGGCGAAAGCCUGACGGAGCAACGCCGCGUGAGUGAUGAAGGUCUUCGGAUCGUAAAACUCUGUUAUUAGGGAAGAACAAAUGUGUAAGUAACUAUGCACGUCUUGACGGUACCUAAUCAGAAAGCCACGGCUAACUACGUG
rnacentral:rRNA from 1 species